rnacentral:rRNA from 1 species
GCCCUGGCAGUCAGAGGCGAUGAAGGACGUGCUAAUCUGCGAUAAGCGUCGGUAAGGUGAUAUGAACCGUUAUAACCGGCGAUUUCCGAAUGGGGAAACCCAGUGUGUUUCGACACACUAUCAUUAACUGAAUCCAUAGGUUAAUGAGGCGAACCGGGGGAACUGAAACAUCUAAGUACCCCGAGGAAAAGAAAUCAACCGAGAUUCCCCCAG